rnacentral:sRNA from 1 species
CCUGCGGAAGGAUCAUUACAAGUGAGGCUACCGAACGUUGGAAACAGCGGUUAGGAGCUUACACCCACCCGUGUUUACAUACUAUUGUUGCUUUGGCGGGCCGUGGCCUCCACUGCGGGCUCUGCUCGUGUGUGCCCGCCAGAGGACCAAACUCUGAAUGUUAGUGAUGUCUGAGUACUAUCUAAUAGUUAAAACUUUCAACAACGGAUCUCUUGGUUCUGGCAUCGAUGAAGAACGCAGCGAAAUGCGAUAAGUAAUGUGAAUUGCAGAAUUCAGUGAAUCAUCGAAUCUUUGAACGCACAUUGCGCCCUGUGGUAUUCCGCAGGGCAUGCCUGUUCGAGCGUCAUUUAACCACUCACGCCUAGCGUGGUAUUGGGGCACGCGGUCUCGCGGCCCUCAAAAUUAGUGGCGGCGCCGGUGGGCUCUAAGCGUAGUACAUACUCCCGCUAUAGAGUUCCCCCGGUGGCUCGCCAGAACCCCCAAUUUUUUACAGGUUGACCUCGGAUCAGGUAGGGAUACCCGCUGAACUUAAGCAUAUCAAUAA